rnacentral:rRNA from 1 species
UACGGAGGGAGCUAGCGUUGUUCGGAAUUACUGGGCGUAAAGCGCGCGUAGGCGGCCUUGCAAGUUAGAGGUGAAAGCCCGGAGCUCAACUCCGGAACUGCCUUUAAAACUGCAUAGCUUGAAUCCGGGAGAGGUGAGUGGAAUUCCGAGUGUAGAGGUGAAAUUCGUAGAUAUUCGGAAGAACACCAGUGGCGAAGGCGGCUCACUGGACCGGUAUUGACGCUGAGGUGCGAAAGCGUGGGGAGCAAACAGGG